AGAUUCCUACGGGAGGCAGCAGUGGGGAAUAUUGGGCAAUGGGCGAAAGCCUGACCCAGCGACGCCGCGUGGGCGAUGAAGGCCUUCGGGUUGUAAAGCCCUGUCAUGCGGAAAGAACGACCCUGAGACGCAUACUCUCAGGGAGUGACGGUACCGCAGGAGGAAGCACCGGCUAACUCCGUGCCAGCAGCCGCGGUAAUACGGAGGGUGCAAGCGUUGUUCGGAAUUAUUGGGCGUAAAGGGCGCGUAGGCGGUAAUGUAAGUCAGAUGUGAAAUACUUCGGCUCAACUGAAGAACUGCAUCUGAAACUACAUAACUAGAGUACAGAAGAGGGAAACGGAAUUCCCGGUGUAGAGGUGAAAUUCGUAGAUAUCGGGGGGAACACCAGUGGCGAAGGCGGUUUCCUGGUCUGAUACUGACGCUGAGGCGCGAAAGUGUGGGGAGCAAACAGGAUUAGAUACCCUGGUAGUCCACACUGUAAACGGUGAACACUAGGUGUGGGAGGUGUAAUACCUUCCGUGCCGUAGCUAACGCGUUAAGUGUUCCGCCUGGGAAGUGCGGCCGCAAGGUUGAAACUCAAAGGAAUUGACGGA
rnacentral:rRNA from 1 species